rnacentral:rRNA from 1 species
UACGUAGGGGGCAAGCGUUGUCCGGAUUUAUUGGGCGUAAAGCGCUCGCAGGUGGUUCAUUGCGUCGUGCGUGAAAGACCCCGGCUCAACUGGGGAGCGUCGUGCGAUACGGGCGGACUGGAGGCCAGUAGGGGGAUGCGGAAUUCCGGGUGUAGUGGUGGAAUGCGUAGAGAUCCGGAGGAACACCAGCGGCGAAGGCGGCAUCCUGGACUGGUCCUGACACUCAUGAGCGAAAGCGUGGGGAGCGAUCCGG